rnacentral:tRNA from 1 species
CCUUCGAUAGCUCAGUUGGUAGAGCGGAGGACUGUAGAGGUUGAGCGGAUAUCCUUAGGUCGCUGGUUCGAAUCCGGCUCGAAGGA